UCCUCCCCCGGCAAAACGACAGCAUCCGGAACAGGAUCCGCAGCCGAGACGAGACAUAGGUAGAACGUGUCACUCUCCUCCAUGGCCUGCGCAAGUGAGCAAUGCGCAACUGCAUCCAGAACUUCAGGAGAAGAACUAGAUGGCUUAGGAAUCGGCGUAAAGGGACCGUUACGCAAAACAGGACGACCCGAGAUACGAGUUAAACGGGCAGCGUUAUUGCAUAACUCAAGAAUAG
rnacentral:lncRNA from 1 species